AAGAAGAAGAAGAAGAAGUUCGUCCUCUUUGCUUCAAUGCCAUCAGAGAGGAGAGGUACGAUUUUCAUGAGCUCCGUUCAUUAAAUGUUAAAAUGUGUUAUAAGUGUUCAUGUCAUGUCUGUGUGGCCAAUACGAGAAAGUAUUCUGUGUAAUGUUAUAUUUGACCAUUAGUUCGUGUUAUUAACCUGGUAAAUGUAGUUUAUUUGAGUGCUCUUUACUGGUGAAUAGUGCAUUGCGUGAGAUGGCGGCAAAGUCUGUGCGUUGCUGUGUGAAGGAUAUGUUAGCGGCUAUGCGGCUAUGCGGCUAACAUCUCAAUUAAGGGAUAUUUAUAUAUAGAUAAAUAGAAAUUGAUAAAUAAUAGAUCGAGAUGUUUAAUUAAAAAGAUGUGUAUGUAUAAUUAUAUUUUGUAAACUAAAUAUAUGUUUUAGUCUUUAAUAUAUUUUGUACUUUGUACACUUAGGAGAUAUAUUUUAUAUAUAUUGUAUAUUGCAUUCAUUGUGUGAUCUGUGGUUAAUUGUCUGGGGUACUUAACAUGUAUUUUGUGGUUAACAGGCAUAAUUAAGAGCUGUUGCAGAUAACAGUGCCUGUCUGUUUGCUUGUUUUACUACACAGGCACUACAAUUAAAUCCUCAUCAGUUAAAAACCAGAUUUGUGUGGACAAUUCUUUUAUUUAACAUCAAUAAAACACAACACAGAGGAACAACCGCUACAGAGACAUCCGUGACCGUUGGAGUGGAGCUGCAUGGCUUGUAGUCACUGAUGAUCUGGAUGCCCUGCCACAUGUGUCGGGGGUCAGAGCUGGAAAAGUGUUCCUCUACCUUCAGCUUGUAGCAGUACUUGGCCUUUCUGAUGCCCCUUUUCAGGUUAGCCCUGGAUUUACUGUAGGCCUGAGCGUCAUCUGACCUUAAGGCAGUGUUGCGGGCUUUCAGCAGAAGUCGCACCUCCUUGUUCAUCAAUGGCUUCUGAUUAGGGUAUGUGUGGCAAGUGUAAUGUUGUUACUCUAGAUUAUUGAAAUUAUUAUUAACUAAUAGCACUAAUACAAGAGGCUUUUAUUUUGAAAUUGGUAUCAGGAAAAAUUGCACAGUGAUGAAGUCAUGUGAUCACAAGCACAAUACUAUUGUUAUUUUUAUUUCUUUUUACAUGUAUAAUUUGUAUUUCUUUUGAUUUGAUUUUCCUUUUCUUACGGAAUUGUUAAUCUAUAUAAAAUGUUUAGGAAGAACUGUUAACGUGAGUUACAUCGUGUGUAAACACUAGGAAAGAGCUGAUGUAAUUUCCUGUGCUCUCUCUCUUUCGCGGGAUGUCAUUGCGAUGAGAGGUAUAUUUUAUCAGCUCCUCGGAAAAGUGUUUGAAUACAUUUAAUUACUUACUGGUUAUGGAUUUUCUGCAAGAAAUUAGUUUUUUUUGUUAACUUUUUCUUUAUUAAGGGAUUACUAGUCCAAGUUAUGAAUGUUGUAAAGAGUAUGUUUAAUCUAAGUGUGAAUUAAUGUAAUGGUCGCCAUUACACGUGCAGUAUGCUGCUGAAUUUAAUUACCUAACAAUGCAUACUUAGGUAAAACAGAGUUAAAAGUUAUAUAUGUGUUAUGAAUUAUACAUUAGUGAUUGUGUGAAGUUCUAUCUGUUUAACUUUAAUGAUCCAUGAGAGGUUUGAAUGUAUUUGCUGUUAUAUAAGUGCACAUUGUAACACUAUGCAAUGAUUGACAGGCACUGCUAGACCUGAUAUUCUCCUGUUACUACCUGAUGGUGUCUGUUAUACUUUGAUACAGAAACGUCAGAAGCCGAAAGUAAACCAUGUGACAACCG